rnacentral:rRNA from 1 species
GGGUGGGCGAUGUUUGUCCGGACACCUGUAGGAAUCCCAGAGCUAAUACGUGCACACGAGUCCUCCUCCUAACGGGGCAACUCGCGGGGAGAGGGCGCAUUUAUUAGGAUCUUGACCGGCGGUGGGCAGUCAACGCUGUUCACCAGGCUGAGGCGAACUCUGGGUAUGUGACGACCGCUGUUAGCGGCGUGCCCGUUUGCUCGCCGUCCCAUCAAAUUUAGACGGCCCGGGCAAGAGCCCCCCGUGUUGGCUACGGGUGACGGAGGAUCAGGGUUCGAUCCCGGAGAGGGAGCCUGCGAGACGGCUACCACGCUUAAGGGUGGCAGCAGGCGCGCAACUUACCCACUCCCAGCACGGUGAGGUAGUGAAGAUAAAUGUCGGGGCUGGGCUCGCAUGCGAGCCUAGCGGUCGGA